CAUUAUAUAAACACACUGCACAAACACACUGCAUUAUAUACACCGUGUUUGUGUAGUGUUUAUAUAAUUCAGUGUGUUUGUGUAGUGUGCAUUAUAUAA